rnacentral:rRNA from 1 species
AGAGUUUGAUCCUGGCUCAGGAUGAACGCUGGCGGCGUGCCUAAUACAUGCAAGUAGAACGCUGAAGCUUGGUGCUUGCACCGAGCGGAUGAGUUGCGAACGGGUGAGUAACGCGUAGGUAACCUGCCUCUUAGCGGGGGAUAACUAUUGGAAACGAUAGCUAAUACCGCAUAAAAGUCGAUAUCGCAUGAUGUUGACUUGAAAGGUGCAAUUGCAUCACUAAGAGAUGGACCUGCGUUGUAUUAGCUAGUUGGUGAGGUAACGGCUCACCAAGGCGACGAUACAUAGCCGACCUGAGAGGGUGAUCGGCCACACUGGGACUGAGACACGGCCCAGACUCCUACGGGAGGCAGCAGUAGGGAAUCUUCGGCAAUGGGGGCAACCCUGACCGAGCAACGCCGCGUGAGUGAAGAAGGUUUUCGGAUCGUAAAGCUCUGUUGUAAGAGAAGAACGAGUGUGAGAGUGGAAAGUUCACACUGUGACGGUAACUUACCAGAAAGGGACGGCUAACUACGUGCCAGCAGCCGCGGUAAUACGUAGGUCCCGAGCGUUAUCCGGAUUUAUUGGGCGUAAAGCGAGCGCAGGCGGUUAGAUAAGUCUGAAGUUAAAGGCUGUGGCUUAACCGUAGUACGCUUUGGAAACUGUUUAACUUGAGUGCAGAAGGGGAGAGUGGAAUUCCAUGUGUAGCGGUGAAAUGCGUAGAUAUAUGGAGGAACACCGGUGGCGAAAGCGGCUCUCUGGUCUGUAACUGACGCUGAGGCUCGAAAGCGUGGGGAGCAAACAGAAUUAGAUACCCUGGUAGUCCACGCCGUA